rnacentral:rRNA from 1 species
AUUGAACGCUGGCGGCAGGCCUAACACAUGCAAGUCGAGCGGAUGAAGGGAGCUUGCUCCUGGAUUCAGCGGCGGACGGGUGAGUAAUGCCUAGGAAUCUGCCUGGUAGUGGGGGAUAACGUCCGGAAACGGGCGCUAAUACCGCAUACGUCCUGCGGGAGAAAGUGGGGGAUCUUCGGACCUCACGCUCUCAGAUGAGCCUAGGUCGGAUUAGAUAGUUGGUGGGGUAAAGGCCUACCAAGGCGACGAUCCGUAACUGGUCUGAGAGGAUGAUCAGUCACACUGGAACUGAGACACGGUCCAGACUCCUACGGGAGGCAGCAGUGGGGAAUAUUGGACAAUGGGCGAAAGCCUGAUCCAGCCAUGCCGCGUGUGUGAAGAAGGUCUUAGGAUUGUAAAGCACUUUAAGUUGGGAGGAAGGGCAGUAAGUUAAUACCUUGCUGUUUUGACGUUACCAACAGAAUAAGCACCGGCUAACUUCGUG